UGUAACUUAAGAAAACUCAAAGGUCACAAGAAUGUAACCUUAGUUACAUGUAUGUAACCUUAGUUAGCCCAUCAUUAACUAAGGUUACUCUUUAUGGGUAUCUACACAAGAAAUUAUACCCUAUACUUUAUAUGAAAAUGUAUUGGCCUACUUAAUAAUAAUAUCCCAAGGACCACUAAUUUAGGCCAAACCAAAAGAUAGCACAUAACAUAUAAU
rnacentral:lncRNA from 1 species